CCGCAUACCUGUUGGAAAAAGAAAGACGAAAUAGUGGCAAGAACAGCGACACUCGAGUCUCCUUUUAAAACAAGUCUCGGCUGUUCGCUAUGAUCGCGGCGCAAUCGUAUCGUCUAGUUUCACCGACAGCGUGACAAAUACAGGAUUUCUUUGUUUACAGAGCAAGUCAGGAAAGUAUUCGAAGACUCGAAGAAAGCUUUUAUAAACGUAAUUGCGCUUAGGCGAGAGAUUUUCAAAUUUCGUUGAUAUCGUGGUGAGAUCAGCGCGAUUACAUCGGUCAAUUUUGAAACGAAUCUGGAAACGUAGGCUAGAAGCUAUAUUUAUUGCAAGAUAUCUUUUAGCAGAGAUCGUGAAGGCAUUUCAACGAUCAAUUGUCCAUUGUGUCGGUAAAUCUCGAUACUCGCUUCUAUAUACGUCAGUCGUAUCUGAUUACGUCGCUAAUGAAAUUUCAAAACGUUUAAUAUCGCACGGACGAUAUAAUAUAUCGGCGAAAGAUUUCUAUAAACGUUCAAAUACUUUCGUGAGCCAUUGUACGUCACUGGAGGAAGAAUAAUGUCAUCCGGAUACGGCGCUAAAUAGAGAUGUGCGCGAAAAAGUGGGAAAUCACGAGGCGAGAAAAGCGAAGGACUUGUUACAGGCGGAACACUCAAAUAUAGUGUAUCGCGGUUCUAAAUCGAUCCGCUCAUUAUUUGUUCAUCUGGAUCGUUCAGGAAUAAAUCUUCUUUCAAGUUCA